rnacentral:rRNA from 1 species
GACGAACGCUGGCGGCGUGCUUAACACAUGCAAGUCGAGCGACGCUCUUCCUUCGGGGGGAUGACGGAGCGGCGAACGGGUGAGUAACACGUGGGCAACCUGCCCCUAGCUCUGGGACAACACCGGGAAACCGGUGCUAAUACCGGAUACGACAUCGAGCGGCAUCUCUCGAUGUGGAAAGUUUUUUCGGCUAGGGGUGGGCCCGCGGCCUAUCAGCUUGUUGGUGGGGUAAUGGCCCACCAAGGCGACGACGGGUAGCCGGCCUGAGAGGGCGACCGGCCACACUGGGACUGAGACACGGCCCAGACUCCUACGGGAGGCAGCAGUGGGGAAUAUUGCGCAAUGGGCGAAAGCCUGACGCAGCGACGCCGCGUGAGGGAUGACGGCCUUCGGGUUGUAAACCUCUUUCAGCAGGGACGAAUUCAGACGGUACCUGCAGAAGAAGCACCGGCCAACUACGUG